AAUAGAUACCCCGGUAGUCCACGCCGUAAACGAUGGGUACUAGGUGUAGGGGGUAUCGACUCCCCCUGUGCCGCCGUUAACACAAUAAGUACCCCGCCUGGGGAGUACGGUCGCAAGAUUAAAACUCAAAGGAAUUGACGGGGGCCCGCACAAGCAGCGGAGCAUGUGGUUUAAUUCGAAGCAACGCGAAGAACCUUACCUAGACUUGACAUCUCCUGCAUUACUCUUAAUCGAGGAAGUUCUCCCUUCGGGGAGAACAGGAAGACAGGUGGUGCAUGGUUGUCGUCAGCUCGUGUCGUGAGAUGUUGGGUUAAGUCCCGCAACGAGCGCAACCCUUAUUGUUAGUUGCUACCAUUUAGUUGAGCACUCUAGCAAGACUGCCGUGGUUAACGCGGAGGAAGGUGGGGAUGACGUCAAAUCAUCAUGCCCCUUAUGUCUAGGACUACACACGUGCUACAAUGGCGAGUACAAAAGACGCAAAGCCGCGAGGUGGAGCAAAACUUAUAAAACUCGUCUCAGUUCGGAUUGCAGGCUGAAACUCG
rnacentral:rRNA from 1 species